UUUCUCAUCUCCUCCUUCCCUUCUCAUCUCCUCCUCCUUCCCUUUCACUACCACGUCUCCUUUUCCUUCUCCUUCAAGCCCACCACGAAGACCACCACGAACACCACCACAGAGACCACCACGAGCACAUGCAACACCACGAACCGGUGAAGAAUCAAGGUGUUGCUUUUGGAAUUUUGAUUUCAAUGUUGUAAUUUUUGUUUCUUCGAUGUGUAAUUUUUUUUUUCUUCAAUGUUAAAAUUUUUUUUUCCUGGAUUUUGACGUUGUAAUUUAUUUUAUUUUUUUGUAUUGUAAAAUAACAAUUUAAUCAUCAAUAUAUUUCGUAUUCAAGCUUGUUAUA